UACGGAGGGUGCAAGCGUUAAUCGGAAUUACUGGGCGUAAAGCGCACGUAGGCGGUUUUUUAAGUCAGAUGUGAAAGCCCCGGGCUCAACCUGGGAAUUGCAUUUGAAACUGGGAAACUAGAGUGUGUGAGAGGGGGGUAGAAUUCCAAGUGUAGCGGUGAAAUGCGUAGAGAUUUGGAGGAAUACCAGUGGCGAAGGCGGCCCCCUGGCACGAUACUGACGCUCAGGUGCGAAAGCGUGGGGAGCAAACAGG
rnacentral:rRNA from 1 species